CUUGUACCGACUGGAUGAGCAGCGAACGGGUGAGUAACGCGUGGGGAAUCUGCCUUUGAGCGGGGGACAACAUUUGGAAACGAAUGCUAAUACCGCAUAAAAACUUUAAACACAAGUUUUAAGUUUGAAAGAUGCAAUUGCAUCACUCAAAGAUGAUCCCGCGUUGUAUUAGCUAGUUGGUGAGGUAAAGGCUCACCAAGGCGAUGAUACAUAGCCGACCUGAGAGGGUGAUCGGCCACAUUGGGACUGAGACACGGCCCAAACUCCUACGGGAGGCAGCAGUAGGGAAUCUUCGGCAAUGGACGAAAGUCUGACCGAGCAACGCCGCGUGAGUGAAGAAGGUUUUCGGAUCGUAAAACUCUGUUGGUAGAGAAGAACGUUGGUGAGAGUGGAAAGCUCAUCAAGUGACGGUAACUACCCAGAAAGGGACGGCUAACUACGUGCCAGCAGCCGCGGUAAUACGUAGGUCCCGAGCGUUGUCCGGAUUUAUUGGGCGUAAAGCGAGCGCAGGUGGUUUAUUAAGUCUGGUGUAAAAGGCAGUGGCUCAACCAUUGUAUGCAUUGGAAACUGGUAGACUUGAGUGCAGGAGAGGAGAGUGGAAUUCCAUGGGUUAG
rnacentral:rRNA from 1 species